CACGUAGGGUGCGAGCGUUGUCCGGAAUUACUGGGCGUAAAGAGCUCGUAGGUGGUUUGUCGCGUUGUUCGUGAAAACUCACAGCUUAACUGUGGGCGUGCGGGCGAUACGGGCAGACUAGAGUACUGCAGGGGAGACUGGAAUUCCUGGUGUAGCGGUGGAAUGCGCAGAUAUCAGGAGGAACACCGGUGGCGAAGGCGGGUCUCUGGGCAGUAACUGACGCUGGAGGAGCGAAAGCGUGGGGAGCGAACAGG
rnacentral:rRNA from 1 species